rnacentral:rRNA from 1 species
CCUACGGGAGGCAGCAGUGGGGAAUUUUGGACAAUGGGCGCAAGCCUGAUCCAGCAAUGCCGCGUGAGUGAAGAAGGCCUUCGGGUUGUAAAGCUCUUUUGUCAGGGAAGAAACGGUGGGAGCUAAUAUCUUCUGCUAAUGACGGUACCUGAAGAAUAAGCACCGGCUAACUACGUGCCAGCAGCCGCGGUAAUACGUAGGGUGCAAGCGUUAAUCGGAAUUACUGGGCGUAAAGCGUGCGCAGGCGGUUGUGCAAGACAGAUGUGAAAUCCCCGGGCUCAACCUGGGAAUUGCAUUUGUGACUGCACGGCUAGAGUGUGUCAGAGGGGGGUAGAAUUCCACGUGUAGCAGUGAAAUGCGUAGAGAUGUGGAGGAAUACCGAUGGCGAAGGCAGCCCCCUGGGAUAACACUGACGCUCAUGUACGAAAGCGUGGGGAGCAAACAGGAUUAGAUACCCUGGUAGUCCACGCCCUAAACGAUGUCUACUAGUUGUCGGGUCUUAAUUGACUUGGUAACGCAGCUACGCGUGAGUAGACCGCCGNGGGAGGUACGGUCGCGAGAAGUUAAACGUUAACGAAACGUAGAGUUAGUACGGACGUUAGAGACGAGCCGACGGACGACGACGAGGGAGGAGG